rnacentral:piRNA from 1 species
CGUUGGGUGCAUCAAAAGUUU